ensembl:lncRNA
CUUCAGUCGAGCAGGGACCGGAGGGGAUUACGGCAGCGGACACACAGAACACCGGAGGACCUUUUUGAGCUGAUGCUUCCCGCCAUCACCAUGGAAACGGAGGCCAGUCAUAUGCUGGAGGCUGCACUGGAGCAGAUGGACGACAUCAUCGCAGGUUCCAAAGCGGCGGAGUUUUCCAGCAGCGCGUAUGAGCCGCCCUCCCCACUCGGCGCGGCUCCUCUGCAGGUCGUGCAGUUGGCCGAGGACUGAGAGUCGCCCUGGAGCUCCGACCCGACCGGGACGAGAGAGCCGGCCUCAGAGCUCAGCUACCUCGGGCGACGGCACAGAUCCUCGUAGACUGGCUGCAGAGUGGAACUAGGGUCACAGACGCAGCCUGAGAUGGAUCCUGCACGGUGCCCGACAUUACAGCCUGUUGCCGCUCCGGGUAUCUCAAGCGAGGGAACGUUGACCAAGACUGCUGUGAGGGAACGAAGAAGAAGAAAGAAAGAAAACAGCCCGCUGUCCUCUGCAGGGGGA